GCCCGGGGUGCCCCGCGCGUGCGGGGAGGGUCCAGCCGCUGCUGUGGGAGCGCCGGGGACCGUAGUCAGGCCCGCGUCCCGUUGUGCGAAGUGCUGGGCCCGUUCCCUCCAGCGCUGUCACCUGGGCUCGGCUGUUCGUACAGUUACUGUCGGUUCGGUUUGUUAAUGUUUGCACCUAGUUUUCCAGCCUAAGGAAGACGGAGAAGCUGGGAGGACACGUUAGCCGCGGCCGUCUUGGCAAACGCAGAAAGCAUCAGUCACCGGCCAUGGACAUGCUGGGGGCCUGCACCAGCACACAAUUAACUUAGACACGUGAUCUGGAAAAUGUGAACAUCCCUCAAGAAUAUGCAAAUAGUGACUCACACAAGAGUUUUAAAGUUCAGAUGUAUUUGUAUAUGAUUUUUCUGUGGCAAAUUGUAGUACAAUAAAGUCAUCUUGAUUAUUUUGAGAAAGUUGGUAUUAGAUGGUGCCACUCUGAAGAACUAGAGAACUUCUGUCCUACUGUCAGCUUGGAUGAAUUGUGGUCAUUUGUUAGUGAGCAGACAAGAUUCAACUAUGCAAAAAAACAGGCUGGAUUAGCUUCAUUGGUGUUGUAUACUCGGAUUAUUACAAUGUCCUGGGCAAGGGGAAGCUGCUCAAACAGCCUGAAAAUGUGAAGGCAAAAUUCCUCAGCUGGAGAUCAGAGGAAAAGAUCAAAGAUGUUGAUGGAGCGUGCGUGCUUAUGGCAUAAAGGAGUUUUGUAUUUAUAUGAAUAAAGACCUAUAAAAUGA